rnacentral:tRNA from 1 species
GCCUGGCUGGCUCAGUCGGUGGAGCACGUGACUCCUGAUCUUGGGACUGUGAGUUCAAGCCCCAUGUUGGGUG